rnacentral:rRNA from 1 species
UGAGGAACAUGACUUUCGGCGGGGGAUAGCCGGCCCAACGGCCGGGUAAUACCGCGUACGACCUUUUGGGGACAUCCCCGAUUGGUGAAAGCAGCAAUGCGCCGAAAGNGUGCCUCGCGGCCUAUCAGCUAGUUGGUGGGUAAUGGCUCACCAAGGCGACGACGGGUAGCUGGUCUGAGAGGAUGGCCAGCCACAGUUGGGACUGAGACACGGCCCAGACCUCCGUACGGGGAGCAGCGAGG